rnacentral:pre_miRNA from 1 species
GCUACUUGAAAAGAGGUUAUCCUUCCUGUGAUUGCAUUACUUAUAAUGAAUAUGUAAGGGCAAACUCUCUCCUGGAGC